rnacentral:misc_RNA from 1 species
CAACCAAACAAAGGAGCAGACAGUAAAUAUGAGAUAUGGAAUCAAAGGCUGCAAAGACCGAUUUUCCAUUUAUGCACCUUCUUCAUGCAUAUAUAGAAGUAUAACUUAUAUGCAUAGAUACAUCAAAUUUAAUACAAUUUUCUUCACAUUUCUCUCCUUUAAUUACUAUUAUCAGGCAAUAAUUCUGCAAUUCAUGGUCUCACAACAAGGGACAAAUUGUAAAAGCACAAAAGAUCAGAUGAUAGUAAAACACAGUCAAGGGAAUCACAGAGAAUACUUCCCAACAUUUGGAAACAAGCAAUGGUGCCAAAAAUGCACACGAGUAGAAAAGGCCAGCCUAAAAGAACUUCUGCAUAAAUUUGUAAGGAGGAAAAAG